rnacentral:lncRNA from 1 species
AAAUAAUACAACUUCAAAUAUAAGGAACUGGAAAACAAAUGUAUUUAAAGCCCGAAAUUAGGUAAGAGUCUACAUGGUAGGAAUAAAAACACAGCAAACAGAGGACAUACAGUACAGGGCACAAUAUGAGCACAGACAUUAUGCCAAAAGGAUGGAACACCCCUUUUGCCAGAGUGCUUAUAAAGAAUUAACAUAUUAGACCAAAACAUGCCCUCUACGACCACAGCUGUUACAGAAAAGGGCUCCUCCUCCAGUCGCCCUCACUGCAGCAUCUCCUAGCUCCAUGGGCGUUGGAGCGGAGGGGCUGGGGGAUGAAACUGACAGGGCUCGAUCCGGACGUCCGCGGGUCACCAGCAAGUUGUCCAGCCGAAUGGACAUGUUUACCAGCUGGUCCAAGUUGAGGGUGGUGUCUCGACAGGCUAGCUCCCUACAGACAUCCUCGCGCAAACUGCACCUAUAGUGAUCGAUCAGGGCCCUGUCGUUCCAUCCUGCACCAGCAGCCAAGGUCCGGAACAAUAGGGCGAAGUCCUGUGUGCUCCUCAUCUCCUGCCUUAGAUGGAACAGACGUUCACCCGCCGCUCGCCUCAGGUGGGUAGUCGAACACGGCCCGGAAGCGGCAGGUGAACUCUGGGUAGUGGUCCCUCGCCGAGACUGGAUCGUUCCACACUGCGUUGGCCCACUCCAGGGCUAUGCCUGAGAGGCAGGAGACGAGGGCGUUCACGCUCUCACCUCCCGAAGGUAUAGCUCCAUCUGGAUUAAGAACCCCUGGCACCCGGACGCCGUCCCAUCGUACUCCCUCGGGAGCGCGAGCCGAAUUCCACUGGGACCAGGCGACGAAGGAGAGGGUUGUGGGACUGGUUGGAGUGUGGCUGGUGGAGGUGUAGGGAGGCCACCUCUCUCCCAUCUUUCCAUCGUCGCCAUCACUUGAUCCAUCGCGGUCCCCAGACGGUGUAAUACUGCCUUGUGGUGUUGAAUGCGCUACUCCAUAGAUGUCGGGAGUGCAUCAGCUCCUGCUGACUCCAUCGAGAGAGGUGCGGGAUUCUGUGACGAGCGUGUGUUUAGAGGUUUGUCAUCUGAUUUCUUUGAGUCUGGUGGAUAUGGAUGUAACCAUACUACAAGGCAGGACAGUUUUCUGCAUCCAGCUUGAGGCUUGGUACCAGCAGGAAUAUGGAGCACUCUGUUAGUGAGUCUGCUGAGCUAUGGAACUCCAGAGCAGCACCCUGCCACCCUGUUUUCAGCUAUCUGCAGACAGUUCCCUGAGUAAAGCCCUUGCUUCCGGUACCACUGAAGGCCACAGUAUUGUCAGGCAGCUUGAAGAUGGCACCAUCCAGGCCCAUGUCAGGGGUAGAAUAUGGGCCCUGGAAGAUGUUUUUGAAUUAAUCGACCAGGAAGAUCAGG